AAAAAAAAAAAAAAAAGAGGGGCGGCUAGAAGGGAAACUAAGGAAGAGAACGGGAAAGAAACAAGCUAGAGAGUCUUGGGCUGAGGGAGGAAAAGAAAGCUAAGGUAAGAAACAAAGAAAAAGGCAGCGAGAGGAAGAGCAAGAUUGAACAAAGGCGGGGCUACGGGCUGGAGGAGAAAAAACUGGGAAAAAAGAAAGGGGGGAACCAAGAAAAAAACUACGGGCUUGAGGAGAGAAAAACUAGAAAAGAGAUUGGGAGAGGGUUGUGAGGAGCUUUGGGAAGACAGGAAAAAGAGAAUGGCGGCUGGGGGUUGGAGGAAAAAAGCUACGAGAGCUGGCGGUGAAGCUUUGGGAAGAAGAAGGAAACUGAAAACAAAAAAAACAAGGGAAGCUACGGGCUGAGGAACCAAUAGAGGGAGAGGAAACCAAAGAGAGCAAGGAAAAAUCUGGAACUAAGCAAGGAAAAUCUGUGAAAAGUUUACGGGCAAGAAACCAGAGGAAGAAAGGCAAGAGAGAGGGAAGAGUUUCGAGGGAGAAAGGAGAAAAAGCUUGGGGGAAAUCUGGAAAAAGGAGGAAAACCAGAGAGAAAAGCUACGGGUAAGAAGAGAGGGAGGAGAUUGAGAGAAGGUGGAGGCUGCCAAGAAAAAAAGAAAGGGAGAGGGGCUGUGGAAGGAAGAAACCGAGAGAGCAAGACAGAUUGCUGAGGAAAAACAAAGGAAAAGAAAAGGAAGAAGGUGGCGGCUGAGUAGGGAAAAGCAAGGAAAAGAAAGAAAAGAGAGGAGAAAAGAGGCGGAGCAAGAAAGACACAGAGAGAGGAGGGAAAAAUAGAGGAAAAAGGAGAUCAAAAGAAAAUUUUUGCUGGAAGAAACCCAGGGCUCAGGCUGAUUCAUCAGCCUGAUUCGUCUCCAAUUUCUGAUCAUAUUUCCGAUUUUCAGGGAGGUCUCUUCAUUUCUGCAAUAUCCUGGACUGCAAUGGAGAAGUUUUUGUUCAGAAACAAUUCGGGGAAAACAACUCCAAACCUGUUGAAUUGAAGCUUCAAUUCGCGGCACCGUCAGUCCCUGGAGAAAAUUUUGCAGCUUUCCACCAGUAGCUUUUUCGCACUUGAAUCUGCUUAUCUUACCGUGUCACGUGUUGUUCCGUCGUUUAAAACAUCAGAGGUAAUCUUUAAACUCUCUUCCGUCAUACAAGUUCGGAUUUAUGACAGAUUUCUUCCUUUUUGCUCUCUGCAUUUUGUGUUCUUCCUUUGCUGUUUUAUCUCCAUUUUUCUGUUAUAAUCUUGCGAUAAAGUGUAGCAUUUGAUCUGUUUGACGUUGGGAGUUGCAUCUUUAGGUUUUUUUGGUUCAAAGUUGAUGUUUGGUUGGAUGUUUUGUUUGAUGAAAUUGUGGUGGGCAUGAAACCAGAAACGUUGCAGAGAAAGCUAAUAAAGAAGAAAGCUUGCUUCGAUGCUCUGCAUGAAAAAUUCCAGAAAUUGCACUUUAGCCCUAAUUUUUCAACUAAUGCCACUAUGGACCAGAAAAUUGGAAAAAUAAUUAUUUUUGUCCUUUAACAUGUUAUUUUUCUUUGAUAUGAUUUAAUGUGAUUUUUGGAUCGAUUUUUAGUGAAUUUUAGGAUGAAAUUUGAGGUUUAAUAGUUUUGAGAGAUUUAUGAUUUUGAUUUGGAUUUUUAGUGAAAUUUUGGGUAUUUUUGUUGUUUAAUUGUAACAAAUGGUUUUUCAUUUAUUUUUUGUGAAUUUUAGUUUUGUUUUGGUAGGUUUCAUUCUUAAGCCAUUAAUUUUAAUUUAUUUUAAUUAGACCCCUAAUAUUUGUAAUAAUAACAAUUUGACCCCUCAAAUUUCUUUAAUUACUUCAAUUGGGUCCUUGUUUGUUUUAAUUUAUUGAAUAUGGGUUGUUUAUUUUUAUUUGAAUGAUUUGAUUGAUUCAAUUUCAUAUUUAUUUCCAUUUCAUGUGAUUAUUUGUUAAUUAAAGCGAUGUCUUGACCCUUUUUCUUUGUUUUGGAGGGUAAAUAAGGAAAACUUCACUUCAUUAGGUCACCAAUUCAAAUGAGGUGUACUCUGCUCUUUAUUUUAAUUUUACUUGAUCCUAUGUGCUCCUAUGUGACUUUAUGUGCGUAAUUGCAUGCUUUUUGAAUGUUUUUAUUUCAUUUAUUUAUUUAGUCACUUUAAUUGUUUUGAUUUUGUAUAUUUAUUUUAAUUUUUAUUUGGAAGACAAUUAAAUGCCACAAUUAUAAUAGUUAGGUUAUUAUUUCAUUUUAUUUCAUUUUUUUCCCUUUUAAAUUGUAGUUAGGGCCCCCAAAUGUAAUAGUUAGGGCUUUAUUUGAUUUAUUUGCUUUGUGUGCUAUGCAUGCUUAUGUGUUUACGUGUUACUCGCUUUCUUAGGGCCUUUUAUCUAAAUAUCAUAUUUAUGUGCUAUGUGCUAUAUAUGAUUUAUGUGUUUAUUUGCUUUAUUAUAUUUUACAUGAUUUAUUUGCCAACGCUAGUUGUAGCCCCCUUUUCUUCCGAUUUCACACUAGUCCAACGCUAGUUGUGGCCCUCCUCUCCGAUUUCUCACUAGUCCAAUGCUAGUGAGAAUUUAUAAACAUGGGCUAGUCCAACGCUAGACUCUUGGGAACCAUCCACACGUUAGAUCAUGUUUGUGUGACAAAGCACUACAUUUCAUGCAUAGUUUCUACUUUUGUAGGUUUUUUUUUUAUUUUGCAUGACAUUCCCCUUAUAUGUAUAUCCCUUAUCCCAUAUUUUCCUUAUAUGUAUAUUCCUUACCCCUUAUGUAUGAAUCAUGACAUUAGACUUGCAUUUCAUUUAAGGAAAGUUAGAACUAGGUUAGAUUAUUUUGCUUGAUUAGAUAUGAGAAAUACCCAUCGAAUAUGGGAUAUGGACAAAUAUGAUUUUCUAGCCUUAGCACGCUCGUAUUCCCUCUAUUAAAGGGAAAAUUAAAGUCACGAAUUUUAGCCCCCGCACCCGUUAUGAUGCAUUCCUUUAGGUCAUAUAUAUUUGUAUAAUUAUUAUUUUCUUUUAUUUUUCUUCGGGUCUCAUAUUUUUGCAUAUUCGUGACCUCUUCAAAGAGUCACUCUUGGGCAUCACAAUUAAUGUGAUUUGCACCAAUCAAGCUUUUGAAGAGAUAUUCCGACCCCCGACAUCUUCCUAGGUUUAGGUUUUUGCAUCCAUAUAGUGACAUCAAAAUGUGAUAAAUUCCUAAGUUAAAAUAAGAAAAUUUUUUGACUAAAUCACAUAACUAGCUUGGCUAGAUUGAAAGGGUACCUUGGAUUUUAUCCUUGCCUUCCCUUUCUUCAAAUGUGACUUCCGGCCUCUUUUCUCUUAAUUUUCGCAAACUUGAAGUCGUUUAAAAAGGGUUUUCUCUACUUUUUCUUUAAAAAUUCAUUUUAGGUGACUUGGUACAUUUUAACUCAAUACCAAGUGAUGACUCCUAUUUUUUUCUUAAAAACCCUUUUUAAACUAUUAUUUUUGGAUUAAAAUCGUUGCACUUUAAGUCCCAUUUAGGCCCAUUUUCUUUAUUUAUUUUCUAAAAAUAAAAAACUCCUUUUUACUCAAAAUAAAUCAAAAACCCAUUUUUCAAUCAAAAAUUUAUUUUUCUAAACACAUUACAUUUUCAUUUAAAAAUGGGGCGUGACACGGAGGGCAUAAGGUAAAUGUUAAAUGAGGGGAUUGUUGAUCUUUUGGAGGACAUAAGGUGGGAGUUCGGAGGUUAUAAGGUGGUAAAAUGUAGGGGAUUGUUUAUUGGUAGUUAUAAGGUGAAUAUUGCUCCUUGUGAGCCCGUAUCCUUUUAAUGUUUAAAUUAUUGUUCAUUCUUGUAUUUACUUGAACGAAUGAAUGAAUGCACGCAUGAAUGUUAUUGUUUAUCAAGUAUUUUACGCUGAAAGAUUCCUAUCACAAUUAAUUGCUCCACUACUAGUUUCUAAAGUUGAGUAUCGAUUUACUUGAACCUAUAUUAGUUGGGAAAACGUGCUUACAUGUUAAAUUGUGUUAUUCUCUUAUUUUGCUUGUUUACCUGGAAUGCUCACUGGACGUAAGCUCAUCCCACGUUUUGUUUUCCUUAAUAGGAUUCGGAUCUGAGAGUGCUGAAAAAUACUGUUGGAAUGUGUUGAGAGACUUUAAGUUUUUAUUUUAGUAGAAAUGACUGUAGUGUAUAUAUUUUUGGGUUGUAAUUAAGAUAGGCGCCAAAUGAUGAAUCUUUUGUACGUGAACCUAUGUAUUAGCUUGUGGAUGUAUGCAAGUGUUAUUUUGGGGUGUAAUGAAUAUUAUUUUGUUUAGUUUAGAAAUUUCAAGUAAUUCUUGCUAUGGAUUGUAGUGAGUCAUAGCGAGAGUUGGGCAGACGGUCCGCUGACCCCUCUAGUUUGCCUUUGGGGAAGUGGGGCUAUCACAGAUGAUCACAUGAAAAAGGUUAGGGAUAAUUUCAGAAACCUUCCUUGAGUCUUCUGACAAUUUCACUGAUACGAACCCUGCCAACUCUAUGACAAAACCUAUAAGAGACAAGUUCAAAA
rnacentral:lncRNA from 1 species